CCUCUACGCCUUUGACCUAAAAUAUAUCAAUUCCAACAAUUUCGGCUUACAUUCCCACGAUGGCGCUUCAUUCCCACGAUCCCACACCGCGAUUUCUAACUCCUAACCCAUCAAUUCUUCUGGGGGUAUUCUCAGUAACAUGAUUUCAAUGUCUUUUGAAUUCAAGUUCUACUUUAACAAUCACUAAAUCUUUCUCCGCAGGAAUUCUUGAUAUAAGCUAUUCAGUCUUUUUCAUUGUAAGUUCACUGAACCAUGUUAUCAUAGAUAGAUUAGUAUUAGUUACUUUGGUUUUUUUGUGUUGCUAAUUCGUUAUACCUUCUCUGUUUUUUAUGUGAUUAAGUUUUAAAUCUGGAGUUGUUUCUUUCACUUACUAAUUCUUUCAACUCUACCAUUAAAAAGUAAUAUUACUAUAAAUUAAUGUUAGUAUGAAUUCAAGUAUUCAAGUAUAGUAAUAUAAAGAUUUGUAUUAGUUAAUCUAGAAUUAUUGUAUUACUAGUUCCUUCAAACACUUUCUUUUACUUAAUAUAAUUCUUUGUAGGGCUUGCCAUUGUUGGUUAUAUUUUGCCCCUUUUCUCUGUUACAUUGGUUCUAUAUUCGAGAAUUGAUGCAAUUUAUUUUUGUAUUAAACCAUUUAUUAGAGAUGGAACAUUAUAAGCAUGUUUUUGUUUAUUAUUUUGCGAAUUCUAAAGAAAAUUUGUAAUGCCCUCUUUUCGCCUACUUUGCCCCAAUGAUUUUAUAGAACAUUUAAUGCCUCCUUCGCUGAGCAUUCUAAAAGGUGAAGCGAAGAGUCAGGGGACUGCCUCAUUAGCGGGAAAGCACCAAUCACUGGAGAAUUAAUGCUCAUUUAAAGAACUUUGGCACUUGGACCCUUUCUAAAACCUGUUGUCUAAAGGUGAGGCAGUCCCUGGGGAAGUAACGCAGAAAAAGAAUAUGGCAGCAGAAGGGAGAAAUAGGAAAGCGCUUGGCGAUAUUGGUAAUGUGGCUACAGAUCGUGGGGUCGAAGGAAAAAAACCACUUCCUCAGGUAUCUCGCCCCUUAAAAAGGAGCUUUUUGGGAAAUCACAACUUUUGAGUCUUGUGAAUGGGUACACAGUGCUUGGCGCCAAUCUGAUGAAAAGUUAAUGUAUAUAUUGGAUUGAUGUGUAGUGACAACAGCUACCUUUGUUGCAUUAUUUAUUUUGUGCAAGGGCAUAUUUUCAGUAA